AUGAAGGAAUUUAUUGUGAUCACCUUAAACUGUUAAUUGCUGGUAGGGGUGUAAACGAGCUGGGCCGAGCCCGAGCUCGACCAGGCUCGAGCUCGGCUCGUUAGGUUUUUAUGAAGCUCGAGCUCGAGCUCGGCUCGGUUCGAGCUUAAUUUUUUGAGCUCGAGCUCGGCUCGCGAGUAAAACCCAAAGCUCGAGCUCGGCUUGAACUAUUUUGAGAACAACCUUAAACAGCUAAAAGCUCGGCUCGAGCUCACUUCAACAUCGCUUAAACGAGCCAAAGCUCGGCUCUAGCUCGGCUCAUCAAUGUUAUCAUCAUUAUUAAUAUAUUAUAUAUAAAAAAAUUAACAUUUUGUAUGGGCUCGUUUAGGCUCGCGAGCCUAAACAAGCUUUGUAUUUCAGGCUCGAGCUCGGGCUCGAUAACAA
rnacentral:lncRNA from 1 species